rnacentral:rRNA from 1 species
AACGUAGGAGACGAACGUUAUCCGGAGUUACUGGGCGUAAAGGGCGUGCAGGCGGCCUGAUAAGUCCGGCGUGAAAUCUUUCGGCUUAACCGGGGGAUGUCGUCGGAGACUGUCGGGCUAGAGGGUGAUAGAGGCGUGUGGAAUUCCGGGUGUAGUGGUGAAAUGCGUAGAGAUCCGGAGGAAUACCAGUGGCGAAGGCGACACGCUGGGUCAUACCUGACGCUAAUACGCGACAGCAUGGGGAGCAAACGGG